rfam:Pongo abelii chromosome 13.
CCUGGGGUGACGAUAAGCAAAUGGUGCCUGAAUGUGAAGGUCAUAUUCGGCUUUAGCUGAUU